rnacentral:rRNA from 1 species
GACGAACGCUGGCGGCGUGCUUAACACAUGCAAGUCGAACGGAAAGGCCCUGCUUGCAGGGUACUCGAGUGGCGAACGGGUGAGUAACACGUGGGUGAUCUGCCCUGCACUUCGGGAUAAGCCUGGGAAGCUGGGUCUAAUACCGGAUAGGAGCCAUUUUUGGUGUGAUGGUUGGAAAGUUUUUUCGGUGUAGGAUGAGCUCGCGGCCUAUCAGCUUGUUGGUGGGGUAAUGGCCUACCAAGGCGGCGACGGGUAGCCGGCCUGAGAGGGUGGACGGCCACAUUGGGACUGAGAUACGGCCCAGACUCCUACGGGAGGCAGCAGUGGGGAAUAUUGCACAAUGGGCGCAAGCCUGAUGCAGCGACGCCGCGUGGGGGAUGACGGCCUUCGGGUUGUAAACUCCUUUCGCUAGGGACGAAGCUUUUUGUGACGGUACCUAGAGAAGAAGCACCGGCUAACUACGUG